GCCGCGUGCACCUGGCCUGCCGCGGCUCUCCGGCUGAACGACCCACUCGGCCCUGCCAUGCCAGUGGACCUCAGCAAGUGGUCCGGGCCCUUGAGCCUCCAGGAAGUGGACGAGAAGCCGCAGCACUCGCUGCGGGUCACCUACGGCGGCGCCGCGGUGGACGAGCUGCGCAAAGUGCUGACGCCCACCCAGGUUAAGGACGGACCCACCAACGUUUCGUGGGAUGACCUAGAUCCAGGUAAACUCUACACCUUGGUUCUGACAGACCCGGAUGCUCCCAGCAGGAAGGACCCCAAAUACAGAGAAUGGCAUCAUUUUCUGGUGGUCAACAUGAAGAGCAGUGACAUCAGCAGUGGCACAGUCCUCUCCGACUACGUGGGCUCAGACCCCCCCCCCCCCAAGGGCACAGGCCUCCACCGCUACGUCUGGUUUGUUUACGAGCAGAACAGGCCGCAGAAGUGUGAUGAGCCCAUUCUCAGCAACCGAUCUAGAGACCACCGUGGCAAAUUCAAGGUGGCAUCUUUCCGUAAAAAGUAUGAGCUUGGGUCCCCAGUGGCUGAUACGUGUUACCAAGCUGAAUGAGAUGACUAUGUGUCCAAACUCUACGAGCAGUUGUCUGGGAAGUAGGGGAGCGCUCGGAGGUGUCAGCUGUCCCGAAGGCCCCAAGCAGUGUUCUCCAGUUCAGUGUUGCAUGUAGAUUUCUCCUCU